CCUACGGGAGGCAGCAGUGGGGAAUUUUCCGCAAUGGGCGAAAGCCUGACGGAGCAACGCCGCGUGGAUGAUGAAGUCUUUCGGGACGUAAAAUCCUUUCAGCAGGGACGCGGUACCUGCAGAAGAAGCAUCGGCUAACUACGUGCCAGCAGCCGCGGUAAUACGUAGGAUGCGAGCGUUGUCCGGAAUUAUUGGGCGUAAAGCGAACGUAGGCGGUUUCUUAAGUUUGGUCUUAAAGACUGAGGCUCAACCUCAGGAGUGGACUGAAAACUGGGAGACUGGAGGAUGUCAGAGGAAAGUGGAAUUCCGAGUGUAGCGGUGAAAUGCGUAGAUAUUCGGAGGAACACCAGUGGCGAAAGCGACUUUCUGGGGCAUCCUGACGCUGAGGUUCGAAAGCUCGGGGAGCAAACAGGAUUAGAUACCCUUGUAGUC
rnacentral:rRNA from 1 species